UGACAAGCUAAAGAACUGCCUGAAUGUAUGGCCCAGAGAUGACAGGAUUUGGCCAUAGCGUUCAGAGUCCAAGAUACCUGCCAAUCACAAUGCUCCCUAAGGGACUUCUGUGCCGCUGGAGGAUGUUCCUGACUCUAAAAGGUCUGAAAGGAAACUCACAUUUCUGCAUUUGAAGGAACACUGCAACACCUGUAUGGGAAUAGCAUUGCCACACAGUAAACAAGAGGUGAGGUGAAAAGGGUACUAUCUCUGCUCCAAAGGUUUGAUACUUCUUCCAAGAGAUGCGGUAUAUCCAGCACUUCACUCCGUGCAAGCAUGGACUAUGUAAGCAUUGGCUAUGGAGGGUGCUGCGACCCCAUAAAGGAAGGACAAAAAACUGCGAAUAAAAGUUAUUCAUAGAGGACUAGGGUGCUUUAC
rnacentral:lncRNA from 1 species